GAGUCCCCUUCACCUUUUCCUAGCUGGUGCCAGGUUCACAGAACAAUUGCUGUGGCUGUGAGUCCUGAGCAAGGAAUAACCUGUCUCGGGGAUGGAACCGGUGAGGCAGGUACAUGCCCUUCUGCGCCCCGAGAACUUUAUCUGCAUUUGACUCUCAUCAAUCAUGACGUCUAAAGUAUAGAAGAAACGGCAAAGAACGUCCCUUCCAUCUCGCCCUGUUUCUCCUGUGCACAUGAUGAAAAUCAGUCAACAGGGAUUUUUCUUCCCUUAAUGGGGGCAAAAUUAGAAGCAAGACAAGACUGGAUUUUGAAGCGGUUGCAGUAACCCAGGUGAAAAAGGAUGAGGGGCUUGCACAGCAACGUGGAUGUACAUAAUGUCACAAAGUCGUACACUUAAAAAUGCUUAAAAUGGUUAAUUUUAGGUUAUGUGUAUUUUAUCACAAUAAAAAAAUAAGAGGCUGACCUGCAGCAGUAAUAGUGAUAACGGCAGAA
rnacentral:lncRNA from 1 species